rnacentral:rRNA from 1 species
CUGACUGCUAUCGGAUUGGUACUAAGCCAUGUGGGUCAUUGUAGCAAUACAAGGCAGACGGCUCAGUAACACGUAGUCAAUCUACCCUAUGGACGGGGAUAACCUCGGGAAACUGAGGAUAAAACCCGAUAGAUCAUAGUGCCUGGAACGGCUUAUGGUCCAAAUGAUUCGUCGCCGUAGGAUGGGACUGCGGCCUAUCAGCUUGUUGGUGAGGUAAUGGCCCACCAAGGCUAUUACAGGUACGGGCUCUGAGAGGAGAAGCCCGGAGAUGGGUACUGAGACACGGACCCAGGCCCUAUGGGGCGCAGCAGGCGAGAAACCUUUGCAAUGUGCGCAAGCACGACAAGGUUAAUCCGAGUGUUUCCUGCUAAAGGAAUCUUUUGUUAGUUUUAAAACCACUAUUGAAUAAGGGGUGGGCAAGUUCUGGUGUCAGCCGCCGCGGUAAAACCAGCACCUCAAGUGGUCAGGAGGAUUAUUGGGCCUAAAGCAUCCGUAGCCUGUUCUGUAAGUUUCCGGUUAAAUCCAUUAGCUCAACUAAUGGGCUGCCGAAAAUACUGCAGAACUAGGGAGUGGGAGAGGUAGACGGUACUCGGUAGGAAGGGGUAAAAUCCUUUGAUCUAUUGAUGACCACCUGUGGCGAAGGCGGUCUACCAGAACACGUUCGACGGUGAGGGAUGAAAGCUGGGGGAGCAAACCGGAUUAGAUACCCGGGUAGUCCCAGCUGUAAACGAUGCAGACUCGGUGAUGCGCUGGCUUGUGGCCAGUGCAGUGCCGCAGGGAAGCCGUUAAGUUUGCCGCCUGGGAAGUACGUACGCAAGUAUGAAACUUAAAGGAAUUGGCGGGGGAGCACCACAAGGGGUGAAGCCUGCGGUUC